rnacentral:rRNA from 1 species
UACGGAGGGAGCUAGCGUUGUUCGGAAUUACUGGGCGUAAAGCGCACGUAGGCGGCUACUCAAGUCAGAGGUGAAAGCCCGGGGCUCAACCCCGGAACUGCCUUUGAAACUAGGUAGCUAGAAUCUUGGAGAGGUCAGUGGAAUUCCGAGUGUAGAGGUGAAAUUCGUAGAUAUUCGGAAGAACACCAGUGGCGAAGGCGACUUACUGGACACAUAUUGACGCUGAGGUGCGAAAGCGUGGGGAGCAAACAGG